AUUGAACGCUAGCGGGAUGCCUAACACAUGCAAGUCGAACGAGUGGCGGACGGGUGAGUAAUAUAUCGGAAUGUGCCCAGUAGAGGGGGAUAACUACUCGAAAGAGUGGCUAAUACCGCAUACUAUUGGAGAGGCCCAUAUGUGAUGAGCUAUUUGGUGGGGUAAAGGCUCACCAAGACAACGAUCCGUAGCUUGUGUGAGAGGAUGACCAGCCACACUGGGACUGAGACACGGCCCAGACUCCUACGUGAGGCAGCAGUGGGUAAUAUUGGACAAUGGGUGAAACCCUGAUCCAGUCAUCCCGCGUGUAUGAGAAGGCCUUCGGGUUGUAAAGUACUUUUGGCAGAGAAGCGGUAUCUGCAGAAUAAGCACCGGCUAACUACGUGCCAGCAGCCGCGGUAAUAC
rnacentral:rRNA from 1 species